CACGCCGUAAACGAUGAGCACUAGGUGUCGGGAUCGCAAGAUUUCGGUGCCGGAGUUAACGCAUUAAGUGCUCCGCCUGGGGAGUACGUUCGCAAGAAUAAAACUCAAAGGAAUUGACGG
rnacentral:rRNA from 1 species